rnacentral:tRNA from 1 species
GCGGCUUUAGCUCACUUGGGAGAGCGCCAGACUGAAGACAACUUCAGCUCCGAUAUCUGGAGGCACUGUGUUCGAUCCACAGAAGCCGCAA